ACGGGCCUCAACAAGACUGAACGUGGCCCAGAAUUGUCUGUCAGACCUUUUGUAGUGACUGUGAAGAUGAGAGGGGCAAAGGAAAAACUGGAUCCAUCAGUUCUCAUACCAUGAAACGAAAGUAAAAGAAUCUUCUCGUCUUAAGAAAUGCCCUCAACUUCUGCUCUCAACUGAAUCAGUGAGAAAACCAGCUUUGGAGCAAAGUCAGACCCACACUGGGAUGGAAUAGGAUGUCCUAGACACGACAAGUUCUAACUUGAAGCAAGCUCUCCAAUGCUGCUGAGUCAAUGGACAGGAUCUAUUUUCAGUUCUUGACUUGCUCUGAGAUGCUGUAAUCAGCAAGGAAACAUCUGGGUCCUCUAAGAUCUCAGCUGUCAUCGGAGAGAACUGGAUGUUUCCUGGAUUUGGAUGGUUAUUCCUGUGCUCGAGAGAAUUGGGAAAUACUUAGGGCUGGUCUUCAGAAGGAAGAAAACACUGCAAAUCACCCAACGAAAGUGCUCUGGCAGUGCUACUGGGUCCUCUCUUGCUUCAUUAUGUCCCUAUACAAUUGUCCCCUUUGGCAGAGAGCAUGGCAUAUCCUUAUACACAAAAUUAAGAGUGUAGUGAAACCAUAUUGUGGAAUGCUGUUUGAAAAUUAUGACAUUGACAGUUGGUCUAUAUGAAACCCUGAGAGUAUUGCUCGAGGCUGGAAAUAUUCUCAGAUAGUCUCAGGACAAGCUCAUAUCCUCCCAAAGACCGUAACCCACCAUAGCAAGGUAAUCCCUUCAAUAAGUCCCACGUGACAGGUUUUAUGUGAUCAUUGCCGACAGUCAUUGUGAAUUCUCAAUACAAAUCUUUUAGUGCAACAUUUUCAUUAGGGGGAAUUUCAGUUUCCAGAAUUACAGUGUUAUGCCUCAAGUCAGGCAAAAUUCUCGCACCAAAUUACUAUAGGCUGUUCUUUUUCUUGAGGAGCUAUUCCAAAAAAACAACAUUUCUUCAGGGAAUGUAACAAUAAGAAAUAAGGGAUGGAAUAAAGAUUAUCAU
rnacentral:lncRNA from 1 species